UGGGAGUUCUGUGCCAGCAACAGCCACUCACAGGGAAAGGCAGUGGCUGUUUACCUGCAUUGCUCAGUGGGACCAGGAAGGACAGACUCACUUGUGUCCUCUGCCAGAAGACAGUGACAUGACACAAAUGGUAGCACAAAGCUCUUACUGCUCCAUUCAAUGAGUGAUUCUCCGUGGAUGGACUGUGACUCCCCAAAGGUUGCAGAGAGAGCUGUUGGAGUGGAGGGGCACACCUUGUCAAUUGCUGAACGACCUCCUUUGUAAAUUGAGUGAGAGUGUGCGAUUUGCCCUGGAGCAUCUUUUCAGGCAUUCUGAAUUCUGCCACUGCCAUGACAGGAGCCUUUGGACUCAAGCUGCCAUGGUCCUUGAAGUCAUCAGCAGGGUGGGACAGGGCACCAGAUGGGCAAGGAGGCUACAGCUCCUGCAGGACCCAGAAGAAAUGUCCAGAUCCAGAGGGUGAGGAAUUCAUCCACCAGCUUCUGUCAGGUUGUGACUGUGCAGUCUGUUUCUUCUGGAAGAGCCCCAAGUGACAGGUAAGAAAUGGAACACAAAAACACAAAACAAAAGUAGAGUGGGUUGGUUAAAAAGAAAGCACAACAGUUUUUAAAGGACUAAUCCAGGUUUGUGUGAUGAUAAGUAGGAGUGUGCUGCAGGAGGAGGGAAGGGCUCAGGGCUGAGCUGCCUGGCGGAGAUGCUUUGAGCAGAUGACUUCUCCUCCUGUCCUUUUUCUCCCUUUCUGCCUUUUGAGAUUCACUCUGUUGGUGCAGGUGAAGUAGUGGAUCCUGUGGGAUUAGUGAGUUGA